UGGGGAAUUGUUCGCAAUGGGCGCAAGCCUGACGACGCAACGCCGCGUGGAGGAUGAAGAUCUUCGGGUCGUAAACUCCUGUCGAGCGGGAAGAAUACCUUUCGAGUCAACAGCUCGAGAGGUUGACGGUACCGCGAGAGGAAGCCCCGGCUAACUCCGUGCCAGCAGCCGCGGUAAUACGGGGGGGGCAAGCGUUGUUCGGAAUUACUGGGCGUAAAGGGCUCGUAGGCGGCCGACUAAGUCUGACGUGAAAUCCCCCGGCUCAACUGGGGAACUGCGUCCGAUACUGGUGGGCUUGAGAUCGGGAGAGGGACGUGGAAUUCCAGGUGUAGCGGUGAAAUGCGUAGAUAUCUGGAGGAACACCGGUGGCGAAGGCGGCGUCCUGGACCGACACUGACGCUGAGGAGCGAAAGCCAGGGGAGCAAACGGG
rnacentral:rRNA from 1 species